rnacentral:rRNA from 1 species
AGAGUUUGAUCCUGGCUCAGGACGAACGCUGGCGGCGUGCCUAACACAUGCAAGUCGAACGGAAACAGAUUGAAGCUUGCUUUGAACUGUUUUAGUGGCGGACGGGUGAGUAACGCGUGAGGAACCUGCCUUUCAGAGGGGGAUAACGUCUGGAAACGGACGCUAAUACCGCAUGACAUUUUGUUGCCGCAUGGUGAUAAAAUCAAAGGAGCAAUCCGCUGAGAGAUGGACUCGCGUCCGAUUAGCCGGUUGGCGGGGUAAUGGCCCACCAAAGCAACGAUCGGUAGCCGGGCUGAGAGGCUGAACGGCCACAUUGGGACUGAGACACGGCCCAGACUCCUACGGGAGGCAGCAGUGGGGGAUAUUGCACAAUGGAGGAAACUCUGAUGCAGCAACGCCGCGUGAGGGAAGAAGGUUUUCGGAUUGUAAACCUCUGUCCUCAGGGACGAUAAUGACGGUACCUGAGGAGGAAGCUCCGGCUAACUACGUGCCAGCAGCCGCGGUAAUACGUAGGGAGCAAGCGUUGUCCGGAUUUACUGGGUGUAAAGGGUGCGUAGGCGGCACUGCAAGUCAGGUGUGAAAACCAUGGGCUUAACUUAUGGAUUGCACUUGAAACUGUGGUGCUUGAGUGAAGUAGAGGCAGGCGGAAUUCCCGGUGUAGCGGUGAAAUGCGUAGAGAUCGGGAGGAACACCAGUGGCGAAGGCGGCCUGCUGGGCUUUAACUGACGCUGAGGCACGAAAGCAUGGGUAGCAAACAGGAUUAGAUACCCUGGUAGUCCAUGCCGUAAACGAUGAUUACUAGGUGUGGGGGGUCUGACCCCUUCCGUGCCGGAGUUAACACAAUAAGUAAUCCACCUGGGAAGUACGACCGCAAGGUUGAAACUCAAAGGAAUUGACGG